ACAUAUACUAGAACGAUAAUAAAUUCUUUUACUGUUUUUAAUUUAUAUGGUUAAGAGUCGGCCUUACUGCACCAAAAUUCAAGAGUGAAAACAGGUUGAGAAAGAUAGUCAAACCAAGCGUGAGGUGCUUGUACAAGCCCGUAGAUAGAGCGAUGAAGCUUGCACACAUGAUACGGAAGAUUAUGAUCAAUGUAACUGGAGGUUGUUUCAUGUAUAUAGUUUCUUUGAGGAGACGAUGAAGAAAUGCAAUUUUUACGUCCAAUUUCCUCAUCUCCCAAUUUAAGUUAACAUCAAUAGAAAACACAAGGUGAAUAGUUGUUGGUUUAAUCACUGGACUAAAUGUUUCAUCAAAGUCUAAACUUGGAAUUUGAGUAAAUCCUUUUGAGACUAAGCGGGCGUUGAAAUGGUUAACACUUCCAUCUUCUUCAUAUUUUAUGCGAUAAAUCCAUUUUGAUUCAACGACAUUUGUGUUAUUGGGACUAGGACCAAGUGUCCAAGUUUGGUUGUACUGAAGAGCUUGAAGCUCUUUUUUCACUGUACUGACCCAAAAUUGAUUUUUGAGAGCUGCGUUAAAGGAUUUUUGGUUCAAUUUGAGGAAAAUCGAUGGUGACUAACGCUAAUUCAGAAUUCAAUGCAAGAUUUGUGUAAAGUUUUUGACGAGUUAUCAUCGGAUGAUUAUUUUGAGAUUGAGAAAUAUUGGACUGUACAAUAGGAGUAGAUGCGGAGGUUGGCAAUGAGGAUGGAGAAUGAGAAGAAAAAGGAAGAUCAGUGAACAAUUGACUAGAGAUAUAUGGAUGAUUUUCAGUAAUACAAAACAACCGGAAUGUAUUUGUCUUAAAGAUUAUGAAGUGAUUCGAAAUUUAGAGAACUAGUGUUUGAUUCAGCUUCUUGAGAUUUUGUUUAGAUAGUGAUAUUACAGAGAAUAUGUGUUGGAAGAUUUUGGAAAAAAAGAACAACGGUCAAUGCUCAAAGUGUUGGGGAUUGGAAGGCCUGUAGGUUGAGAACUAUUGUCAUUUUGAGAAGAGUCUAAGUUCUGUUGAAACCACUCAUCAAAACUAGGAAAUGUUACCAUUUGGCUUGGUUCAUGCAUACAUAACGAAAACGAAAUAUAGUUAGCAAAAGAAAAUUUCAUAAAAAAUAACAUGACGAGAAAUAUAAACUCGGUUGGUUUUAAGAUCCAAACCAUCAAAGCCUUUAUGUAUAGGACUAUAGCCAAUGAAAAUGCAGGAAUAAGUUUCUUGAUCAAAUUUACAUUUAGUGUAAUCCCUAAGGUAGGGAAAACACUGACAACCAAAGAUCCUUAAUCCACUAUAAUUAGGAGAAUGCUUGAACUUCUAUUGAAAUGGGCUUGUCAUGUCAAGAGUCGAGAGAGGCGUCCCGUUGAUCAAUAGACAACAGUUAGAAAAGCAUCAACCCAAAAUUUUAAAGAAAUUGAAGAAGAAACAUUAUAGUGAUGGUUGUUUCAACAACAUGUCGAUGUUUUCUUUUGGCAACUCCAUCUUGUUUAGGAGUAUAAGGACAUGAAAUUUUUCUGGAGAUGCCACAAUGUUCUAGAUGUGUUAGGAGGUUUGUAUUAAAAAAUUCACCACUGCCAUCACAUUGAAAGAUUUUAAUCUUCCUUUCCAAGUGAUUUUCUACUUGUUUUUGGAACUUUGAAAGACACUCGAAAAAAAUUAGUUUUUCUUUUAGGAGGAUAUAACCAAGAGAAUCGAGUACAAUCAUCUAUAAAAAUGGCAUAAUAACGAAAAUUUUGAUAAGAAUUUGCAGGAGGAAGUCCCCACAAAUUGCAAUGAAUUUUAUCUAAAAGAAGAGAAGCAAUUUCAUUAGAUAAUCUAAAACUUAGCUUAUAACUUUUUCCUUGUUGACAGGAAGCAAAAAUACCUGGUAUCUUAGUUUAACUUGAAAUAUUAAUAAUUUUGCCAGAGUUUAAAAUAUAUAACAUUUUUUUGACUUGGAUGACCAAGUCUUUGGUGCCAAAGGUUAGAAGUAGCAGGUGGCGAUUCAUGGACAGCAUUAAGAGCUAGUUUGAAAUCAUCCUCCAAGUCAUACAGUCCACUUCUUUUACUGCCCUUUGCCAAAAAGUUAUUUUUUCCCUGAUUCUUAACAACAAAAUUAUCAUCAGUAAACUCAAUUGAACACUUAUUAUUCAAAGUUAAUUGACUGAUAGAUAAAAGAUUUUUUUCUUAAUUUAGGAACAACAAGGAGUUUGUUUAAUUUCAAAUGACCCCGGUUAGAGUUUAAGAGAUAUUACCAACAUGACAGAUAUGAAGACCUUGUCCAUUUGUGACAAAUACUCUAUCAUGACCUUUGUAAUUAUAAACAUUUUCAAAUUCACCUGGGUUUUUUUUGCCAUAUACGAAGUUGCUCAGGUAUCGGAAAAAAAAAUUUUGUUCAUUUGGAUCCUCGAUGUUCAUAUAGCAGCGAGAGCUUGAGUAUUAUUAUACUCAACAUAGUCAUAUCUGUCCCAACAAUCUUUGGCAAUGUGGUUUUUCUUACUGCAUAUUUGACAAAUAUCAGACUCUGUUUGAUCCUCUUGCUUCUGAUUCUCAAUAUUUUGGGAUAGUGCAACUUAUUGUAGAAGUUGCGUCGGCUGUGGAAGAAGUCCUGCCUUCCUCCAUUGUUUUGCAGAAAUCCUCUUCCAAGAGAUCCGAAACAAUUUCCAUGAUGAUUUAGACCUUUUCCUCUUUAACUGAAAAAGCUUGGCGGUGAUCAAUAUGUGAUUUUUCUUCUUCUGUUUGAGCAAUAAUAGUUUGUUCAUGACCUUGUAAGGCAAUAAUAAACUAUUUGAAGCUUGGUAAAAGUGGCUUGGACAACACUGCAGUUUCAAAGUCAGCAUAUUUACGUCCAAGAGCACUAGCAAUUUCAAACAUUUUGUUGUAAUCAGAAAUUUGUCUUUUAAUUGUUGCAAGACUAUCACAAAUGCAUUUGAAAAGCUAGAGGAAAUCUUCUAAUAACAAAGAUCGCUUUUUCAACAAGUAAAGGCUGUCCUUGAGCCAAAAUUCCUUCUCUUUAGUUGCUGGAAGAAUCUGUUCUUCAAUAGCAAGUUGGACCAGUAGAGAGGUGUUUUCCCUAAUUGCAAUGCUAACUAUAUCUUCUGUCAUCAUUUCCAUCAGUCAAGCCAUUAGUAAUCCAUCAUUGUUUGUCCAAGAAACGAACCCUGGAUUGACAACCUCCUUGUCGUCAUAUUCUUUGAUUAGUUUUGAUAGAAUCACAGCAUCUUCAACAAUAUGAUUUUCCAGUCCAAGACUAUUAAUAAGGGCGAGAACCUGAGAUUUCUGAAGCAAAUAAUUUGUAGUAGUGAGUUUGGUAGAGAUUAGGCUGGCACAUUGGUGGAAGUUUUGAAUGGUAAGUUUAGGCACAGAUGUUUCAGCCAUAGUGGCUCUAAUACUAUUAAAAAAAAAAAACAGAGAGCAGAAUAAAAAGAUAAGCUGCAGAAUUUAUACAAGCAAGUAGCAGUUAUAUGAUAUUGAAAAAUAGCAAGACAGGAAGGUGGAAAAUAUUAACUAUACUUGAAAGCUGUAAUUUUAACAGCCAAACUGGUCUUCUAGCCAUUGAGAGGAGCAGAAUAUUGGAACUGAUGCCAAUGUAUAAAGACAAUUGAAGAGUUUUAACUAAUCCUUGAAAUGCAUUUCUAGUCAUUAUUCUUAUCAAAUUACACCAACCCAAAAUUUUUUUGCCGACAUUAUUUACAGAAUUACAGAUGUUUUAAUAAUUGAAUUUCCUUUGAAUUUUAUGUCUUUUUGCUUUAGCUGAACUGCUGAAAUAUAUGUACAAGAUUGUAUAUUGUUGCAUUUGAUAUUAAAUUAAGGGAAGUCAGUGUGAUUUAAGAUGAUUAGCGGUUUUCAUCUUUUGACUUAUCUUCUGCUAUUUUUGAAUUCGAUAUGAAUUUUACAUUUAAUUGUUUUUCCUUACAAUUGCUCGAAUUCAUUGUUUACAUUAGUUAUGGACAAAUAUUAUAAAUAUAAAUUUGUGUUUUCUUGCUAUAAGUAAAAUAAUGAAAAGAAUGUUCAAGAUAAAAGGAUAAAAAUGAUUUUGGAGAUGAAAAUGAUAAUGAAAUUAGUGACGAUGUGGAUGUUGGGAAUGAAACUAAUAAAACUCAUUAAACUAAUCUUGGAGAUGUUGAGGAUGUUGAUGUUGAUGUUACACAACUUCUUUUGGAUCCUGGAUUGAGAGUCGUAAUACAGAAUUAUGAUGCCAAUGUUUGAGAUGUGAUUCAAAUAGCAUAUGUGCAAAUGGGUCCUUGUCAACCUCGCAAUCAUAAGUUUCCAUCCACAAGAAUGUGUAACAAAGAUAGUCAAUUUUAUGUUUCAUGGUAUAAUGAGCAUCCUAGUUGGUUGGAAUGUAGUAUAACAAAAGAUGCUGUAUUUUACUUCUACUGCUAUCUUUUCAGUUUGAGUGCUGGUUCAUUUGUUAAUGGCAGCUACUCUAAUUGGAAAAAGAUAGACAAUAUCAGAAAACACAUCAGGGCUUCUGGUAAUGCACACAAUUAGGCUCGGGUCAGGUUGGGUCAAGUACGAAUCAUUCAAGAAUAUAAAAAAAAUAAAGCCUCUUUAAGCAAUCACAUCAAGCUUGAAAUGAUUAUCGAAUUCGUUUGAAAUCGUUAACUGAUUGUGUUUGAUUUUUUAUACGACAAGGGAUUGUCUUUUGUGGACAUGAUGAAUUUGAAGAUUUGAACAAUCAAGAGAUCUUUCUUGAACUAUUGAAUUUGUUGUGUGAUCAUAAUGCUGAGACUAAGGUUGUUGCUAUGGUGUAUAUGCUUGAAAAUCUUAAAUUAGCAUCCCCACGAGUUCAAAAGGAUAUUGUAGGUGAUAUUGCUUUUAAAACUCUAAAUAUGAUUGUUAAAGAUAUUAGUGAUGACUUGUUUUCUAUUCCAGUUGAUGUAUCCUGUAACAUUCAAUAAAGGAGCAAAUGUCAAUUGUCAUUCAUUAUGUGAAGAAUGGGCAUGUAUUGAAGCAUUUUAUUGAUGUCACACAUGUAUAGAGUACCACAACUGUCUCACUUAAGGAUGCAAUUAAUCAAUUAUUCUCUAGGCAUAGAUUAGGUAUAUCUAAUUUGAUAGGUCUAGGAUAUGAUGGAACUAGUAAUAUGUGAGGUGAGUAUAAUACUAUCAAAGCACUUAUUUUGAAAGAAAACUCAAGUACUUCUUACAUUCAUCAACUUCAACUAGCUCUUGUAACUAUGGCAUAGAAACAAUCAAGGAUUGAAACCUUAUUUAAUUUAUACAUAGAUUGGUGAAUAUUGUUGAAGGAUCAACUAAAUAGUGUGAUCUUCUUCGAAAGAAACAAAGACUUAAAAUUCUUGAAACACUCAGUAUUGGUGAAAUAUCAAGCGAAAUAGGCCUCAAUCAAGAAACUACUACUAAACGUUUUGGUGAUAAACCAGUGGGGAUCUUACUACAGCUGUUUAAUUAAUUUGAUUAUCAUAUUUGCAACUACAAGUGAUGUUGAGAUGAUUGCUACCGAUACUUCAUGUUUUGAACAAGAGGUGAUGUACGUAUUUUAUUGAAGUCGAUGUUAAAUUUUGAAUUUGUAUUUAAUCUACAUCUCAUGAAAAAGAUCUUGAGAUUUUCAAAUGAAUUAUUGAAAGUAUUACGAAGAAAAGAUCAACAUAUUAUCAAUGCGAUAAGAUUGGUAAAAUUAUGUAAAUUACAGCUCCAAACCAUAAGGGAUGGAACUCUCUCUUCUUCUUCUUUUUUAAAAAAUGGUUUGGCCAUUCUGUAAAGCUCACAAGAUCAAUAUUCCUGAUAUAGAUAAUUUAUAACUCUAAGUCAAUAAGGUUUGAUAAGGUGACAAAUUUGCAUAACUUCAAACGAUAAUUUUUUUUUUUUUUUUUUUUGCAUAACUUCCAUGUGAAAAUAUUUUAUGCCAUCAUUGAUAUAUGACUUCAAAAUUGAAAUGACCAUUUUUUAGGUAAAUAUUGACUUACUCUUUCAUGUUGCUUAUUUGUGUCCAAAUAAUUCAUCAGCUGCUUUUGACAAGAUCAAAGUAAAUUGACUAUGCGAAUAUUAUUUAAUAGAUCUUAACUCAGUAGAUAUCUCAAUACUUGAUGAUCAACUUGAUACACAAUUGUUGACAUGUUCACUGAUUAAGAUUUCGCAGGAUUAUAUGCUUUAGUGAUCUUGCACAGAAAUUGGUUGCUAAAAGUAAACAUGAAGUAUAUCCAUUAGUUUACAAUUUUGUGAUAUUGAACUUAAUUCUUCUCAUCGCUACUUCUACAAUCGAGAGAGUAUUUUUUGCAAUGACUGAUGUCAAAAAUCGUCUGUACAAUCAAAUCGGAGAUAAUUGGUUGAAUGAUAUUUUGAUUGUAUGUAUUGAGAAUGAUCUAUUUGACAGUAUUGAAAAUAAUGUAAUUUUAGAACGUUGUCAAAGUAUGAAAACUCGUAAAGAACAAUUGUAAUAAGAACUUAAAUGAUUUAACUUUUUCACAAGUUUGAUUGCUCCUUCAACUCAAAAUGUUUGUGUCCGUCAUUGGUCAUUCCCUAUUUGUAUUCCAUAUUGGUCCAAAAUUUAUCAGCUAAAUCCGAACAACGAAAUUUGUGAAGCUACAUAGUUAUUUAGGAAAAGUUCUUAUUACUAGAAAAAAAGUUAGAUUUUUGAUGAGAAUUUGAUGGUGAUGAUGUUGAUGAAUUUUUCACAACCCAUAUAAUUGUUGUAAAGAGGGAAGCAACGGCUCGUUACAUUUGCAACUCCAUGCUUGAAGGAAUUGGAAGGACUCUCAAGGGAAUAAAGCUAAUUAAAUUAAGAGAUAUGGUUUGGAGACUUGCUGAGUUUAUUUAGUAAUAAAAACCCUCCACUUUUUCCAUCAUCAUUGACCAUGGCUCUACAUAUCAUUUUUUCUUCUUCAUAACUUCAUUUGAAAGGACCCAUUUUCACGCUUAUAUAAUUACUAGUAGUAAGCACGUGCGUUGCACGUCUGAUUACUUCUUUGUACACAAUAACUUUUGUCAAGGUCCCACAUCUUUUCUUCUUUUUAUCUUUUGCUUUUACUAAAAUUUUUGUUGUUUGCAUUGAAACUCCAUGAGAAAGUGCGACAUAUAGUUUGCCCAUGAGGGAAUACAUGUUCAGAAAGAUAUAUUCCAACAGUAGGCAAUGUUUGUCCUUGAGCCUUGUUAAUUGUCAUUGCAAAAUAUAGACGUAUUGAAAAUUGUUUCAUCUUAAAUUUGAAUGAAGAUCCUUCAUCAUUUGCUAGAGUUAGUGUGGAAGGAAGACUUGUUUUCUAGAAUGUUGUCCAACAAUUGUUUCUGCAUGAAUAAUAUGUUUUUUGAAAUCACAACAAAUCAUUCUUUUUCCAUUGCAAAGACCGUUUGAUGGGUCCAGAUUUCUUAAAAGCAUCACUAGACAAUUUUUUUUAAGAUUAAAUUAUGUGGUGGGAUACCAUUUGGCAACAAUGUAUUGAGGAACUCUUUGAUAAAAUUGGUUAGUGUCAUCUAUUGAUUCGUCAAAGCUAACAAAUUCUUCACUUUCUUUAGGAAAUAACACAAUUAGUUUGUCACUGAGGCAUUCAAGAUACUCAUUUUUGGUUGAAAGAAUUCAACGUUGUGUCAUAUAAUCAGAAGAAGCUGCAUUUUCUGUUAAAUUCGAGAACACUGCAUUGAUCAAGAGUAAUUUCGAAGUUUCAUCAUUGUCACAUACUAGAGUUAUCUCAUUUGAUAAGUUGAUAAAGUCAUCCUCUAUAUUUCCAUUACCAAUUUGGAACAAAUAUUCUGCAAAUUGUUCGUCAUUUUGAACACGCAUGUUUUGAUUUAGUUGUAGUUUUCCCAUUUUUUCCUAAAGAUACAACCUAACCAAACUUUGGUUAAUUGUUUGUUGUCCUAUUGCUUUUCGGAUGACAGAUAGCACUUGACGAAAAUAUCCUCCAAAUACAAAAACCUUUCCUUAAAGUUCUAUCAACGGCUUCCAUUGUAUUUUUGUUGGCCAUUGGUGCUUUAUCCCAUAUUAUGAGCUUUGCCUAUCGAAUCAAUCUGCUGUAGCACUUUAUUUUGAUAUACUACACAUUGUUGAUUUAUUAGUCUAGAGUGGAAUAUUGAAUCUUAAAUGGACAAUUUUACCUCAUGGCAUUAUUUAAGCUGCUGUACUUGAAGUUGUUGUCACAAGUGCUAUCAUCUUUUGAGAUCAAACCCUUGCUAGUGAAGCACGAUAUAAAAAGGUUUUCUAUUCCAUCAGGUCCAUCGAUAAAAAAUACACCCCCAUUUUCACUAUUUAUCCUUUCAAUUAUAACAUCAAAAGAAUAUUUUUGAUUUGGAUAUAGAUAUUAUGAUGCUUGAAUGUCAACAUUUAGAACUUCGAUAGAGCGUUAAUCUAAAAUUUCUUUUGCAUUAGGUUCAUUGUUACCAUAAAAGGUAUCAAUUAGUUGAGGCAAGUCAUAUGCAAUAGUAGUCUUUCCCAUUGAUUGGAGGAAAAAUUGUAUAUUUCAUAAAGUGUAUUGCAUGUAAUAUUCUAAUGAUUCUUUGACAUUUAUUCUGUAAUCUUCUAUCAAGUCUUCAAAUUAUGUGUCCC
rnacentral:lncRNA from 1 species